rnacentral:rRNA from 1 species
UACGUAGGUGGCAAGCGUUAUCCGGAUUUAUUGGGCGUAAAGAGAACGCAGGCGGUCUUUUAAGUCUGAUGUGAAAGCCUUCGGCUUAACCGGAGUAGUGCAUUGGAGACUGGGAGACUUGAGUGCAGAAGAGGAGAGUGGAACUCCAUGUGUAGCGGUGAAAUGCGUAGAUAUAUGGAAGAACACCAGUGGCGAAAGCGGCUCUCUGGUCUGUAACUGACGCUGAGGUUCGAAAGCGUGGGUAGCAAACAGG